AUUGAACGCUGGCGGCAGGCCUAACACAUGCAAGUCGAACGGUAACAGGAAGAAGCUUGCUUCUUUGCUGACGAGUGGCGGACGGGUGUGUAAUGUCUGGGAAACUGCCUGAUGGAGGGGGAUAACUACUGGAAACGGUAGCUAAUACCGCAUAACGUCGCAAGACCAAAGAGGGGGACCUUCGGGCCUCUUGCCAUCGGAUGUGCCCAGAUGGGAUUAGCGAGUAGGUGGGGUAACGGCUCACCUAGGCGACGAUCCCUAGCUGGUCUGAGAGGGUGACCGGCCACACUGGAACUGAGACACGGUCCAGACUCCUACGGGAGGCAGCAGUGGGGAAUAUUGCACAAUGGGCGCAAGCCUGAUGCAGCCAUGCCGCGUGUAUGAAGAAGGCCUUCGGGUUGUAAAGUACUUUCAGCGGGGAGGAAGGAAGUAAAGUUAAUACCUGUGCUCAUUGACGUUACCCGCAGAAGAAGCACCGGCUAACUCCGUG
rnacentral:rRNA from 1 species